rnacentral:lncRNA from 1 species
AUGAAGGGUAUAUUAACAACCCUGAGUUUCCUUAUAAAAACUUAAACAUUAAAAAAAUUGAAAAGAUUAGUAAAAAUAGUAGUAUGGCACAUAAUAAAAAUUCAAAUGAACAAGAAAAAAAUAUUUCAAAACCAUCUAAUUUGCUAAAUAUGACAAGCUUUUUAACUAGAAAAUUAAGUGGGUCCAAAAAUUUUAUAGAACGAAAUAUAGAAAAAAUAUCAAUUUUUAAUAAAAAAAAUGACGCUCCUGAAAAAAAUAAACCAACAAACGAUAAGAGUGCUGACACACACAGCGGUUUACAAAGAAAUACUAAUAAGCAUAGUAGUCAUAUUAAUAGUAAUAUUAAUAGUAAUAAUAACAGUGUUAAUAACAGUGUUAAUAACAAUGUUAAUAACAGUGUUAAUAACAAUGUUAUGAACAACGCUGUAAACAAUGUUAAUAACAAUACGAAGAACUUAAAAAACAAACUAAGCAAUGUUGAAAAUAUUACUCUAUUAAAGAAUAAAAACACAGAUACCAAAGUAUACAACAAUAAAAGAAGAAGCCAUACCGAAAUCAUAGGGAAACCUGUGUUUACUGACAUAAAAAAUAAAAACACAUAUAAUAAUAAAGUAAAAAAUAAAUGUGAAGAGACAGAAACGGUAAAAAGUAUGAAGCGUGCCAAUACUGCUAAAAUAAAUAUUAAUGCUAGUAUUAAAGGUUUAAACAAGUUGCCAAAUGCUAAAAAUGUACCAACUGGUGUGGCAAAAGGUGGGAUCAAAAGUGUGCCAAAAAAUCUGGACGCUAAUAUGGCUACUAAUAUGGCUACUAAUGUGGUUACUAAUUUGGUUACUAAUGUGGCUAAUAAUAUGGCUAAUAAUAUGGCUAAUAAUAUGGCUAAUAAUAUGGCUAAUAAUAUGGCUACUAAUGUGGCUACUAAUGUGGCUACUAAUGUGGCUACUAAUGUGAUCACUGAUACAGUGUCUAAUGCAGUGUCCAAUGCGGGUACACAUACAUAUAAAAAAUAUAUCAGUAAAAAUUUAAGUGCUAAUACUACGAAUGCACAUUUAAACAAAAAUAAAUUAAAUGAUGUUAGGAGUGUAGGGAAAGACAUAAAAAAUAACAAAAAGGGAUUACAUACAAAAUCCAAUGUACAAAAAAUUGUAGUAAAUAAAAAAAACGAAAUAAAAAAUAAUAAAGAGAAUAUUUCUCGUUAUGUUAAUGACAAGACAAAAAAGGAUAUACAAAAUAUGUAUAAUAAAAUAACCCCUCCCGAACAUAUAAAUAUAACCAAAAAUGUUAUUUUAAAAGUAGAAAAUGAUUGUGAUGUUAUUGAAGUAGAUUACUUAGGUGAUGGAAGAGGUUUGUUUAAACAGGUGGAAGUAGAAAGAGAAAGGGGUGAAAAGUCGACACACUUAGAAAAAAAUAAUACAAAUGUUGGUCCAGAAAACAUAAACAAACCGAACGAAACGUCUAAUAAAAUAUUUUUAUAUAAAGAAAAAAAAGAAACUGAAAGAAUGAAUAAUAUAAAGAGUAAAAUAAAUAUACAUAAUGGAAACGAAUUAUCGUUAAUUAAAACUGAACCAAACAACUUGGGUGUUUUAUGUUAUGAUUUAAUUAGUUAUGAAAAUAAAUUUAAACAACAAAAACAUAAUGAUGAAACAGAUAAAGUAAAAAAAAACGGUCUCAAUAAUUAUGAUAACUGUAUGGAAAUUUAUAGUAUAGAUGACGAUGAUAAAGUAGAAGAAGAAAUAAAAGGAAAUGCACAAAAUAUAAAUGAGUUACAUUUUAAGAAUAUACAUAAUGACACCAAAAAUUAUAUGAAUUAUAAAAACAUAAAUGGGAACUUAAAUACAAUAAAAUCUUUCGAUGAUAAUGGUAUGGAUACAGUGAGAGAAAAAAAUAAAGAAACUAUUUCACCAGAGCAAAUUCGCAAAAAAUAUAGUAUUAAACAUGAGCAAAUGUAUGAAGAAAAUGAUUCGAAAAAUGUUCCACUUAAUAAUACAAUCGAUAGACAUUAUAUUUCAAACGAUACGUAUAACAAUUUAAGUAACAAUAUGGACGAAGAUAAAGAAGGUGGUUUGGAUCAUAAUGUAGUUUUACAACAUAAUAAAAAAUGUAUUUUGGAAAUUAAAAAAGAGAUAUGUAACGAUGGUAAUAAAGCUAAUUACAACGACAAUGAAGGUGAUAAUGAAAAUGGAGAUGGAGAUGGAGCUGGAGAUGGAGAUGGAAAUGGAGAUGGAGAUGGAGAUGGAGAUGGAGAUGGAGAUGGAGAUGGAAAUGGAAAUGAAAAUGAAAAUGUAAACGUAAGCUAUAAUGAAAACGUAAACGUAAACUAUAAUGAAAACGUAAACGUAAACUAUAAUGAAAACGUAAAAGAUAAUAAAAGCAAUAACGAUAACGACACGAGUAAUAAUAAUCACAAAUCAAUAAAUGUUUUCUCGAAUAUUACUAAACAGUAUGAAAACAUAAAUAAGUUAAAUUGCAAUGAUUACUCAAAGGAGCUUCAAUCAAAUAGGCUUAUUAACAACAAUUUUGAUAAUAACAUUUAUAACAAUAAUAGAGUUAACGGUUUAGUUAAAUCGUUAAGUAAAGAAAGUUAUACAUAUGAGAGAGGUGGUGAUAUGCAUAUGCGAACUAAACCUUACCCAAACUUAAGUGUCUUCAUUAAAACAGAUAGUAAUAAUUAUAACAAUAAUGCAUAUGAACAUAUAGAAAACAAACAAUAUCCUAAUUUAAGUGUUUUUAUUAAAAAUGAUAGUAACGACUAUAACGAAGAAGAAAGACAAGAUUUUCCUUAUGGUUUUAAAAAUGGUAACAUAUUUGAUAAUGAUAAUACUAAUAAUGAAAAUGACACGUCAUACUAUAGAAAAUACACAAAAGUUGUAAAACAAGAAGAACCUGAUAUUGAUGAUAAUAAUAAAAGUAUUAAUAAAAAUAAUAAUAUCAUGUUUAAUAAUAAUAAUAAUAAUAAUAAUAAUAAUAAUUAUAAUUUUAUCCAUUUAGAAACACACGAUAUUUCAAGUUCAAGAAAAGCAGAGUAUGGUCUAUCAGAAAGUGUUUAUUCUUUAUCAGGAAUGUACUCAUCGAUAGAAAAGGAAAAUAUAAAUUUCAAUAAGAACAAUGUGUUAGAAAGUGAAGAUGUUUACUACGCUGAAAGAAGAAAUGAUUUAAUCAAUAGUAGGAGGGGAGGUUAUUUGAGCAAAAAUGAAGAACAUAGUUUCGAAGAAAAAGAAGAUGAGUGGGGCGAAGAUGGAAAAACAGAAGAAAGUGAAUACAUUGCAGAUGAUACAAAUCAGGACAAUAACAGAAAAAAGGACUAUUCUCAAAAAUAUAAAGAAGAAUAUUAUCAUAAUAAAGAUGGAAAAGCAAAUUAUGACCAAGAAUAUAUUUUAAAGGUUGAAGGGGAUGAUAAUACCAUUUGUUAUGAGAGCAUAAACGAAGGGAAAGAUGAAGGCAAUGACGAAGUGAAAGAUGAAAGUAAUAACGAAGGCAAUAACGAAGGCAAUAACGAAGGCAAUGACGAAGGCAAUGUCGAAGGUAAUGGCGAAAAUAUGAACAAGUCUCAAUUUUUAUACAGCUCGGACGAUAUGUACCAUGAAGAUGCAAUAAAAAUGUACAACAAGAACUUGUCUUUUGAAGAAAGUGAUAACAAAAAGAAUAACAAACUUAUUAAUAAA